rnacentral:rRNA from 1 species
UACGUAGGGGGCUAGCGUUGCUCGGAAUUACUGGGCGUAAAGCGCACGUAGGCGGGUCGUUAAGUCGGGGGUGAAAUCCUGGAGCUCAACUCCAGAACUGCCUUCGAUACUGGCGAUCUUGAGUCUGGGAGAGGUGAGUGGAACUCCGAGUGUAGAGGUGAAAUUCGUAAAUAUUCGGAAGAACACCAGUGGCGAAGGCGGCUCACUGGCCCGGUACUGACGCUGAGGUGCGAAAGCGUGGGGAGCAAACAGG